rnacentral:rRNA from 1 species
UACGUAGGGGCUAGCGUUGUCCGGAUUUAUUGGGCGUAAAGAGCGUGUAGGCGGCCAGGUAGGUCUGCUGUGAAAACUCGAGGCUUAACCUCGAGAUGUCGGCGGAAACCAUCUGGCUAGAGUCCGGAAGAGGAGAAUGGAAUUCCCGGUGUAGCGGUGAAAUGCGCAGAUAUCGGGAAGAACACCCGUGGCGAAGGCGGUCU